rnacentral:sRNA from 1 species
UCGCAGCCCGGCUUGAACGGAAAUCCUUUUGCGAGGAUGAACGACGAACAAAAGAUUGUGAGUGGAAGACGGAGAUAGC